rnacentral:tRNA from 1 species
ACUUUCCUAGUAUAGUUUAGUACGGCUGACUUCCAAUCACCUAGCCUCAGUCAAACCUGAGGGAAAGUA